CCCGACUGUAUAGCUCAGUUGGCAGAGCAUUGGGCCAGUAUUCCAAAGGUUGUAGGUUCAAAUUCCACUGUGGCCAGGCAUAUUUUUCAAGCCUGCCCAGCAGGGUGUUAGCCAGGAUUUCAAAAGUGGCCGUCCAAAAUAAUUUUGUGAGCGUGGUCACAAAUUUUUGUGGCCAUGGUCACAUGGUUUUGGGCGUGGCCGCAAUUUUUUGUUGUUGUGGAAUUGUGGUGUUCCAUUCGUUGAAUCUUUU